AGCUUGCUCCCGGAUGUUAGCGGCGGACGGGUGAGAAACACGUGGGUAACCUGCCUGUAAGACUGGGAUAACUCCGGGAAACCGGAGCUAAUACCGGAUAGUUCCUUGAACCGCAUGGUUCAAGGAUGAAAGACGGUUUCGGCUGUCACUUACAGAUGGACCCGCGGCGCAUUAGCUAGUUGGUGAGGUAACGGCUCACCAAGGCGACGAUGCGUAGCCGACCUGAGAGGGUGAUCGGCCACACUGGGACUGAGACACGGCCCAGACUCCUACGGGAGGCAGCAGUAGGGAAUCUUCCGCAAUGGACGAAAGUCUGACGGAGCAACGCCGCGUGAGUGAUGAAGGUUUUCGGAUCGUAAAGCUCUGUUGUUAGGGAAGAACAAGUGCAAGAGUAACUGCUUGCACCUUGACGGUACCUAACCAGAAAGCCACGGCUAACUACGUGCCAGCAGCCGCGGUAAUACGUAGGUGGCAAGCGUUGUCCGGAAUUAUUGGGCGUAAAGGGCUCGCAGGCGGUUUCUUAAGUCUGAUGUGAAAGCCCCCGGCUCAACCGGGGAGGGUCAUUGGAAACUGGGAAACUUGAGUGCAGAAGAGGAGAGUGGAAUUCCACGUGUAGCGGUGAAAUGCGUAGAGAUGUGGAGGAACACCAGUGGCGAAGGCGACUCUCUGGUCUGUAACUGACGCUGAGGAGCGAAAGC
rnacentral:rRNA from 2 species